rnacentral:rRNA from 1 species
GUACCCGGAGGAAGAAAAAGAAAAUUCGAUUCCCUUAGUAGCGGCGAGCGAAACGGGAAGAGCCCAAACCAACAAGCUUGCUUGUUGGGGUUGUAGGACACUCUAUACGGAGUUACAAAGGACGACAUUAGACGAAUCAUCUGGAAAGAUGAAUCAAAGAAGGUAAUAAUCCUGUAGUCGAAAAUGUUGUCUCUCUUGAGUGGAUCCUGAGUACGACGGAACACGUGAAAUUCCGUCGGAAUCUGGGAGGACCAUCUCCUAAGGCUAAAUACUCUCUAGUGACCGAUAGUGAACCAGUACCGUGAGGGAAAGGUGAAAAGCACCCCGGAAGGGGAGUGAAAUAGAACCUGAAACCGUGUGCUUACAAGUAGUCAGAGCCCGUUAAUGGGUGAUGGCGUGCCUUUUGUAGAAUGAACCGGCGAGUUACGAUUUGAUGCAAGGUUAAGCAGUAAAUGUGGAGCCGUAGCGAAAGCGAGUCUGAAUAGGGCGUUUAGUAUUUGGUCGUAGACCCGAAACCAGGUGAUCUACCCUUGGUCAGGUUGAAGUUCAGGUAACACUGAAUGGAGGACCGAACCGACUUACGUUGAAAAGUGAGCGGAUGAACUGAGGGUAGCGGAGAAAUUCCAAUCGAACCUGGAGAUAGCUGGUUCUCUCCGAAAUAGCUUUAGGGCUAGCCUCAAGUGAUGAUUAUUGGAGGUAGAGCACUGUUUGGACGAGGGGCCCCUCUCGGGUUACCGAAUUCAGACAAACUCCGAAUGCCAAUUAAUUUAACUUGGGAGUCAGAACAUGGGUGAUAAGGUCCGUGUUCGAAAGGGAAACAGCCCAGACCACCAGCUAAGGUCCCAAAAUAUAUGUUAAGUGGAAAAGGAUGUGGCGUUGCCCAGACAACUAGGAUGUUGGCUUAGAAGCAGCCAUCAUUUAAAGAGUGCGUAAUAGCUCACUAGUCGAGUGACACUGCGCCGAAAAUGUACCGGGGCUAAACAUAUUACCGAAGCUGUGGAUUGUCCUUUGGACAAUGGUAGGAGAGCGUUCUAAGGGCGUUGAAGCAUGAUCGUAAGGACAUGUGGAGCGCUUAGAAGUGAGAAUGCCGGUGUGAGUAGCGAAAGACGGGUGAGAAUCCCGUCCACCGAUUGACUAAGGUUUCCAGAGGAAGGCUCGUCCGCUCUGGGUUAGUCGGGUCCUAAGCUGAGGCCGACAGGCGUAGGCGAUGGAUAACAGGUUGAUAUUCCUGUACCACCUAUAAUCGUUUUA